CACGUAGGGGGCAAGCGUUGUCCGGAUUUAUUGGGCGUAAAGAGCUCGUAGGUGGUUCGGUAAGUCGGGUGUUAAACCCCCAGCUCAACCUGGGGACGCCACUCGAUACUGCUGUGACUAGAGUCCGGUAGGGGAGCGUGGAAUUCCUGGUGUAGCGGUGAAAUGCGCAGAUAAUCAGGAGGAACACCGGUGUCGGCAAAGGGCGGGAUCUCCGUGGGGCCAUUACUGACGCUGAGGAGCGAAAGCGUGGGGAGCGAACAGGA
rnacentral:rRNA from 1 species